GUGCUCAAUUAGGCAGCACAUACACUAAAAUUGGAACAAUACGCAGAAGAUUAGUAUGGCCCCUGUGGAAGGAUGACACACAAAUUCAUGAAGCGUUCCAAAUUUUU